UGGGGAAUAUUGGACAAUGGGCGCAAGCCUGAUCCAGCCAUACCGCGUGGGUGAAGAAGGCCUUCGGGUUGUAAAGCCCUUUUGUUGGGAAAGAAAUCCUAUCGGUUAAUAACCGGUGGGGAUGACGGUACCCAAAGAAUAAGCACCGGCUAACUUCGUGCCAGCAGCCGCGGUAAUACGUAGGUACCGAGCGUUAUCCGGAUUUACUGGGCGUAAAGCGUGUUCAGGCGGUCUGUCAAGUCGGGCAUGAAAGCUCUCGGCUCAACCGGGAGAGGCUGUCCGAUACUGGCAGACUUGAGGGCAGUAGAGGGUGGUGGAAUUCCGGGUGUAGUGGUGAAAUGCGUAGAUAUCCGGAGGAACACCAGUGGCGAAAGCGGCCACCUGGACUGCACCUGACGCUCAAACACGAAAGCUAGGGGAGCGAA
rnacentral:rRNA from 1 species